AUACGUAGGGUGCAAGCGUUAAUCGGAAUUACUGGGCGUAAAGCGUGCGCAGGCGGUUUUGUAAGACAGUGGUGAAAUCCCCGGGCUCAACCUGGGAACUGCCAUUGUGACUGCAAGGCUGGAGUGCGGCAGAGGGGGAUGGAAUUCCGCGUGUAGCAGUGAAAUGCGUAGAUAUGCGGAGGAACACCGAUGGCGAAGGCAAUCCCCUGGGCCUGCACUGACGCUCAUGCACGAAAGCGUGGGGAGCAAACAGGAUUAGAUACCCUGGUAGUCCACGCCCUAAACGAUGUCAACUGGUUGUUGGGGAUUUAUUUUCUCAGUAACGAAGCUAACGCGUGAAGUUGACCGCCUGGGGAGUACGGCCGCGAGGUUAAAACUCAAAUGAAUUGACGGGG
rnacentral:rRNA from 1 species